GACAGGCUUAACACAUGCAAGUCGAGGGGCAGCGGGGGUGAUGGCUUGCCAUCACCUGCCGGCGACCGGCGCACGGGUGAGUAACACGUAUGCAACCUGCCCGCCACAGGGGGAUAAGCGGAAGAAAUUCCGUCUAAUACCGCGUGACGCGGCGCCGGGGCAUCCCGGUGCCGCCAAAGGGAUUACCGGUGGCGGAUGGGCAUGCGGCGCAUUAGCUAGUCGGCGGGGUAACGGCCCACCGAGGCGACGAUGCGUAGGGGUUCUGAGAGGAAGGUCCCCCACACUGGUACUGAGACACGGACCAGACUCCUACGGGAGGCAGCAGUGAGGAAUAUUGGUCAAUGGGCGCGAGCCUGAACCAGCCAAGUCGCGUGAGGGAUGACGGUCCUACGGAUUGUAAACCUCUUUUGCCGGGGAGCAAGCGUGCGUUCGUGAACGCGCGUCGAGAGUACCCGGAGAAAAAGCAUCGGCUAACUCCGUGCCAGCAGCCGCAGUAAUACGGAGGAUGCGAGCGUUAUCCGGAUUUAUUGGGUUUAAAGGGUGCGUAGGCGGGAUGCCAAGUCAGCGGUAAAAAUGCGGUGCUCAACGCCGUCGAGCCGUUGAAACUGGCGUUCUUGAGUGGGCGAGAAGUAUGCGGAAUGCGUGGUGUAGCGGUGAAAUGCAUAGAUAUCACGCAGAACUCCGAUUGCGAAGGCAGCAUACCGGCGCCCUACUGACGCUGAGGCACGAAAGCGUGGGUAUCGAACAGGAUUAGAUACCCUGGUAGUCCACGCAGUAAACGAUGAAUGCUAACUGUCCGGCUCGAAUGAGCGCUGGGCGGUACAGCGAAAGCGUUAAGCAUUCCACCUGGGGAGUACGCCGGCAACGGUGAAACUCAAAGGAAUUGACGGGGGCCCGCACAAGCGGAGGAACAUGUGGUUUAAUUCGAUGAUACGCGAGGAACCUUACCCGGGCUCAAACGCAGGAUGACGGGUCCCGAAAGGGGUCUUUCUUCGGACAUUCUGCGAGGUGCUGCAUGGUUGUCGUCAGCUCGUGCCGUGAGGUGUCGGCUUAAGUGCCAUAACGAGCGCAACCCCUGUCCACAGUUGCCAGCAGGUAAAGCUGGGGACUCUGUGGAGACUGCCGGCGCAAGCUGCGAGGAAGGCGGGGAUGACGUCAAAUCAGCACGGCCCUUACGUCCGGGGCGACACACGUGUUACAAUGGCAGGUACAGCGGGAUGCCACGGGGCGACCCGGCGCUGAACCCGAAAACCUGUCUCAGUUCGGAUUGGAGUCUGCAACCCGACUCCAUGAAGCUGGAUUCGCUAGUAAUCGCGCAUCAGCCACGGCGCGGUGAAUACGUUCCCGGGCCUUGUACACACCGCCCGUCAAGCCAUGGAAGCCGGGGGUACCUGAAGUGCGUGACCGCGAGGAGCGCCCUAGGGUAAAACC
rnacentral:rRNA from 1 species